GGAAUAAGGUUUGCAGGCUGAGCACUGGAUUUAGUGUUGUCCUGCAGCAACCCCUCUUCCACUUGGGAAACACUGCAUUUACCUGCUAACUCAUUAGAGGCAUCCAGGUGUCUUGGCUGAUUCUCCUGAAUGAAGCCAUCGCUCCCUGAGUCCCUCCCUUUUGCUGGAUUUUAAAGGACCUAACAGUGUUUGCAAUACAUUGCCUACAGACCUCUAUUCUACCCUGAAAUGCAGCAUUUAUCCUGACCAUGCUGCUUAUCGCCUGUAUUGGAAUCAG
rnacentral:lncRNA from 1 species